rnacentral:rRNA from 1 species
UACGAAGGGGGCUAGCGUUGCUCGGAAUUACUGGGCGUAAAGCGCACGUAGGCGGUCUUUUAAGUCGGGGGUGAAAUCCUGGAGCUCAACUCCAGAACUGCCUUCGAUACUGGAAGACUUGAGUCCGGGAGAGGUGAGUGGAACUGCGAGUGUAGAGGUGAAAUUCGUAGAUAUUCGCAAGAACACCAGUGGCGAAGGCGGCUCACUGGCCCGGUACUGACGCUGAGGUGCGAAAACGUGGGGAGCAAACAGG